rnacentral:rRNA from 1 species
UACGGAGGGUGCAAGCGUUGUCCGGAUUUAUUGGGCGUAAAGAGCUCGUAGGCGGCUCAGUAAGUCAGAUGUGAAAACUCAGGGCUCAACCCGGAGACGCCAUCUGAUACUGCUGUGGCUUGAGUCUGGUAGGGGAUCACGGAAUUCCUGGUGUAGCGGUGAAAUGCGCAGAUAUCAGGAGGAACACCGAUGGCGAAGGCAGUGAUCUGGGCCAGUACUGACGCUGAGGAGCGAAAGCGUGGGUAGCAAACAGG